UGCUAAUCUGCGAUAAGCGUCGGUAAGGUGAUAUGAACCGUUAUAACCGGCGAUUUCCGAAUGGGGAAACCCAGUGUGUUUCGACACACUAUCAUUAACUGAAUCCAUAGGUUAAUGAGGCGAACCGGGGGAACUGAAACAUCUAAGUACCCCGAGGAAAAGAAAUCAACCGAGAUUCCCCCAGUAGCGGCGAGCGAACGGGGAGCAGCCCAGAGCCUGAAUCAGUGUGUGUGUUAGUGGAAGCGUCUGGAAAGGCGCGCGAUACAGGGUGACAGCCCCGUACACAAAAAUGCACAUGCUGUGAGCUCGAUGAGUAGGGCGGGACACGUGGUAUCCUGUCUGAAUAUGGGGGGACCAUCCUCCAAGGCUAAAUACUCCUGACUGACCGAUAGUGAACCAGUACCGUGAGGGAAAGGCGAAAAGAACCCCGGCGAGGGGAGUGAAAAAGAACCUGAAACCGUGUACGUACAAGCAGUGGGAGCACGCUUAGGCGUGUGACUGCGUACCUUUUGUAUAAUGGGUCAGCGACUUAUAUUCUGUAGCAAGGUUAACCGAAUAGGGGAGCCGAAGGGAAACCGAGUCUUAACUGGGCGUUAAGUUGCAGGGUAUAGACCCGAAACCCGGUGAUCUAGCCAUGGGCAGGUUGAAGGUUGGGUAACACUAACUGGAGGACCGAACCGACUAAUGUUGAAAAAUUAGCGGAUGACUUGUGGCUGGGGGUGAAAGGCCAAUCAAACCGGGAGAUAGCUGGUUCUCCCCGAAAGCUAUUUAGGUAGCGCCUCGUGAAUUCAUCUCCGGGGGUAGAGCACUGUUUCGGCAAGGGGGUCAUCCCGACUUACCAACCCGAUGCAAACUGCGAAUACCGGAGAAUGUUAUCACGGGAGACACACGGCGGGUGCUAACGUCCGUCGUGAAGAGGGAAACAACCCAGACCGCCAGCUAAGGUCCCAAAGUCAUGGUUAAGUGGGAAACGAUGUGGGAAGGCCCAGACAGCCAGGAUGUUGGCUUAGAAGCAGCCAUCAUUUAAAGAAAGCGUAAUAGCUCACUGGUCGAGUCGGCCUGCGCGGAAGAUGUAACGGGGCUAAACCAUGCACCGAAGCUGCGGCAGCGACGCUGAUGCGUUGUUGGGUAGGGGAGCGUUCUGUAAGCCUGCGAAGGUGUGCUGUGAGGCAUGCUGGAGGUAUCAGAAGUGCGAAUGCUGACAUAAGUAACGAUAAAGCGGGUGAAAAGCCCGCUCGCCGGAAGACCAAGGGUUCCUGUCCAACGUUAAUCGGGGCAGGGUGAGUCGACCCCUAAGGCGAGGCCGAAAGGCGUAGUCGAUGGGAAACAGGUUAAUAUUCCUGUACUUGGUGUUACUGCGAAGGGGGGACGGAGAAGGCUAUGUUGGCCGGGCGACGGUUGUCCCGGUUUAAGCGUGUAGGCUGGUUUUCCAGGCAAAUCCGGAAAAUCAAGGCUGAGGCGUGAUGACGAGGCACUACGGUGCUGAAGCAACAAAUGCCCUGCUUCCAGGAAAAGCCUCUAAGCAUCAGGUAACAUCAAAUCGUACCCCAAACCGACACAGGUGGUCAGGUAGAGAAUACCAAGGCGCUUGAGAGAACUCGGGUGAAGGAACUAGGCAAAAUGGUGCCGUAACUUCGGGAGAAGGCACGCUGAUAUGUAGGUGAAGUCCCUUGCGGAUGGAGCUGAAAUCAGUCGAAGAUACCAGCUGGCUGCAACUGUUUAUUAAAAACACAGCACUGUGCAAACACGAAAGUGGACGUAUACGGUGUGACGCCUGCCCGGUGCCGGAAGGUUAAUUGAUGGGGUUAGCCGCAAGGCGAAGCUCUUGAUCGAAGCCCCGGUAAACGGCGGCCGUAACUAUAACGGUCCUAAGGUAGCGAAAUUCCUUGUCGGGUAAGUUCCGACCUGCACGAAUGGCGUAAUGAUGGCCAGGCUGUCUCCACCCGAGACUCAGUGAAAUUGAACUCGCUGUGAAGAUGCAGUGUACCCGCGGCAAGACGGAAAGACCCCGUGAACCUUUACUAUAGCUUGACACUGAACAUUGAGCCUUGAUGUGUAGGAUAGGUGGGAGGCUUUGAAGUGUGGACGCCAGUCUGCAUGGAGCCGACCUUGAAAUACCACCCUUUAAUGUUUGAUGUUCUAACGUUGACCCGUAAUCCGGGUUGCGGACAGUGUCUGGUGGGUAGUUUGACUGGGGCGGUCUCCUCCUAAAGAGUAACGGAGGAGCACGAAGGUUGGCUAAUCCUGGUCGGACAUCAGGAGGUUAGUGCAAUGGCAUAAGCCAGCUUGACUGCGAGCGUGACGGCGCGAGCAGGUGCGAAAGCAGGUCAUAGUGAUCCGGUGGUUCUGAAUGGAAGGGCCAUCGCUCAACGGAUAAAAGGUACUCCGGGGAUAACAGGCUGAUACCGCCCAAGAGUUCAUAUCGACGGCGGUGUUUGGCACCUCGAUGUCGGCUCAUCACAUCCUGGGGCUGAAGUAGGUCCCAAGGGUAUGGCUGUUCGCCAUUUAAAGUGGUACGCGAGCUGGGUUUAGAACGUCGUGAGACAGUUCGGUCCCUAUCUGCCGUGGGCGCUGGAGAACUGAGGGGGGCUGCUCCUAGUACGAGAGGACCGGAGUGGACGCAUCACUGGUGUUCGGGUUGUCAUGCCAAUGGCACUGCCCGGUAGCUAAAUGCGGAAGAGAUAAGUGCUGAAAGCAUCUAAGCACGAAACUUGCCCCGAGAUGAGUUCUCCCUGACUCCUUGAGAGUCCUGAAGGAACGUUGAAGACGACGACGUUGAUAGGCCGGGUGUGUAAGCGCAGCGAUGCGUUGAGCUAACCGGUACUAAUGAACCGUGAGGCUUAACCUUACAACGCCGAAGGUGUUU
rnacentral:rRNA from 1 species